rnacentral:misc_RNA from 1 species
UCUCCGUAGGUGAACCUGCGGAGGGAUCAUUACAGAGUUCAUGCCCUACCGGGUAGAUCUCCCACCCUAUGUUAUUAUUACUUUGUUGCUUUGGCGGGCCGUUAGGCUCCGGCCCGACUACCGGCCCCGGCUGGUAAGCGCCCGCCAGAGGACCCAAAACCCUGAAUAUUAGUGUCGUCUGAGUACUAUAUAAUAGUUAAAACUUUCAGCAACGGAUCUCUUGGUUCUG